CAACUUUCGAUGGUAGGAUAGAGGCCUACCAUGGNGNUAACGGGUAACGGGGUGUUAGGGCACGACACCGGAGAGGGAGCCUGAGAAACGGCUACCACAUCCAAGGAUGGCAGCAGGCGCGCAAAUUACCCAAUCCCGACACGGGGAGGUAGUGACAAUAAAUAACAAUACGGGGUUCUUUCGGAUUUCGUAAUUGGAAUGAGUACAAUUUAAAUCUCUUAACGAGGAACAAUUGGAGGGCAAGCCUGGUGCCAGCAGCCGCGGUAAUUCCAGCUCCAAUAGCGUAUAUUAAAGUUGCUGCAGUUAAAAAGCUCGUAGUUGAAUUUCGGGACCAAUAUGUCGGUCGUGCCUCGGUACGUACUGGCAUCGUUGGUUUCUCCCUUCUGACGAACCAUGAUGUCAUUUAUUUGGUGUCGUGGGGAAUCAGGACUGUUACUUUGAAAAAAUUAGAGUGUUUAAAGCAGGCUCACGCUUGAAUACAUUAGCAUGGAAUAAUGAAAUAGGACGUUUGAUUCUAUUUUGUUGGUUUCUAGGAUCGACGUAAUGAUUAGUAGGGAUAGUUGGGGGCAUUAGUAUUCAAUUGUCAGAGGUGAAAUUCUUGGAUUUAUUGAAGACUAACUACUGCGAAAGCAUUUGCCAAGGAUGUUUUCAUUAAUCAAGAACGAAAGUUAGGGGAUCGAAGACGAUCAGAUACCGUCGUAGUCUUAACCAUAAACUAUGCCGACUAGGGAUCGGAUGAUGUUAAUUUUUUAAUGACUCAUUCGGCGCUUUACGGGAAACCAAAGUGUUUGGGUUC
rnacentral:rRNA from 1 species